UACGAAGGGGGCAAGCGUUGUUCGGAAUUACUGGGCGUAAAGGGCGCGUAGGCGGCUUACCAAGUCAGGCGUGAAAUUCCCGGGCUCAACCUGGGGGCUGCGCUUGAUACUGGUGAGCUUGAAUACGGGAGAGGAUAGUGGAAUUCCCAGUGUAGAGGUGAAAUUCGUAGAUAUUGGGAAGAACACCAGUGGCGAAGGCGGCUCACUGGCCCGGUACUGACGCUGAGGUGCGAAAGCGUGGGGAGCAAACAGGG
rnacentral:rRNA from 1 species